rnacentral:rRNA from 1 species
CGCGCAGGCGGCUUGGCAAGUCGGGUGUGAAAUCCCGGGGCUCAACCCCGGGACUGCAUUCGAUACUGUCAGGCUAGAGGUAGGUAGGGGAGAUCGGAAUUCCUGGUGUAGCGGUGAAAUGCGCAGAUAUCAGGAGGAACACCGGUGGCGAAGGCGGAUCUCUGGGCCUUACCUGACGCUCAGGCGCGAAAGCUAGGGAGCGAACA